rnacentral:rRNA from 1 species
CUCUGUGACUCCUACGGGAGGCAGCAGUGGGGAAUAUUGCACAAUGGGGGAAACCCUGAUGCAGCCAUGCCGCGUGUGUGAAGAAGGCCUUCGGGUUGUAAAGCACUUUCAGUAGGGAGGAAGGUAGUGUAGUUAACACCUGCAUUAUUGACGUUACCUACAGAAGAAGCACCGGCUAACUCCGUGCCAGCAGCCGCGGUAAUACGGAGGGUGCGAGCGUUAAUCGGAAUUACUGGGCGUAAAGCGCAUGCAGGCGGCCUGUUAAGUCAGAUGUGAAAGCCCGGGGCUUAACCUCGGAAUUGCAUUUGAAACUGGCAGGCUAGAGUCUUGUAGAGGGGGUAGAAUUUCAGGUGUAGCGGUGAAAUGCGUAGAGAUCUGAAGGAAUACCAGUGGCGAAGGCGGCCCCCUGGACAAAGACUGACGCUCAGAUGCGAAAGCGUGGGGAGCAAACAGGAUUAGAUACCCUGGUAG